GAUUUAACGCUAGCGGCAGGCCUAAUACAUGCAAGUCGAACGGCAGCACGGGUAGCGAAUACCUGGUGGCGAGUGGCGCACGGGUGCGUAACGCGGUAUGCAAUCUACCUGGUAACUGGGGAAUAGCCUUCCGAAAGGAAGAUUAACACCGCAUAAAAUACACGAAGCGGCAUCGUUUUGUGAUCAAAUCUCCGGAGGUUACAGAUGAGCAUGCGUGACAUUAGCUAGUUGGUG
rnacentral:rRNA from 1 species